rnacentral:rRNA from 1 species
GCCGCAGUAUUUCUGUGCUAAGGUAGCAUAAUAACUUGCUUUUUAAUUUAAAGAUAGAAUGAAAGGACUAACGACUUAAUAAUUUUUCCUAAAUUACAUAAUAAAACUAACUAAAAAGUAAAAAAACUCUUAUGCUUAAGAAAGACAACAAGACCCUAUAGAACUUUAUAAUUUUAUUUUGCUGGGGCAGCAAAAAACAAAAUCUUUACAAUAAAUUUUCUAUAAAGACCUAAAAAACUUAAUUUACAAAACAAGUUACCUUAGGGAUAACAGCGCUAUUUUACUUUAUAGUUCUUAUUCAAAGUAAAUAUUACGACCUCGAUGUUGAAUUAAUUUAACUUUAUAAAGCAAAAAUAAUAAAAGUAAGUCUGUUCGACUUUUAAAAAAUUACAUGAUUUGAGUUCAGACCGGUGCGAACCAGGUCAGAUUAUAUCUUCUUUUAUAAAUUAACAGUACGAAAGGACCUUAAUAUAAAUA